AACAUUUUUGAGUGACUACCAUAUGCCAGGAAGUUUGUUAGGAGCUUGGGAUGCCAUCUAAAGACCACUGAUGGUAGCCCCAGUGGUAAACUGUAAUCUCUACUGAUACCAGGAGAUGGGACUUCCCUCUGACUUUCCCCAGAUACGCACAACUCAACGAUGAAAAUGUCUGGGAGCCAUAGGUUCUUGGUCGCCACACUGAUCUUGGUGAUGCCCUUACACUUCUUUGGGUUCCAGCUGAUAAAUGGGUUAUCCCAGACCUACAGGCCAGGUGGAGGAGAGAGACGAGUUCUUGCUAUGUUGCUCAGGCUGGUCUCAAACUCCUGGCCUCAAGCAAUCCUCUUGCCUCAGCCUCCCAAACUGCUAGGAUUAUGGGCAUGAGCCACUGCACCUGGUCUAGGUUAAGAUUCUUA